AGUGUUUGCUCACACUGGACCAUGUAUAAUCUUCUGGAAUGAAGCGUCAUAAAGGGUGAGAAUCCCGUCUUUGACAUGGACUCCCAGUGUAAUUGUAGCAUGCUCUCAAAGAGUCGAGUUGUUUGGGAAUGCAGCUCUAAAUGGGUGGUAACCUCCAUCUAAAGCUAAAUAUUGGCGAGAGACCGAUAGUGAACAACUACCGUGAGGGAAAGAUGAAAAGAACUUUGGAAAGAGAGUUAAACAGUACGUGAAAUUGUUGAAAGGGAAACGCUUGAAGUCAGUCACAUUAGCCAGGGAUCAACUUUCUUAAGUGUACUUCCUGGCUGAUGGGCCAAUAUCAGCUUUGACUGUCAGAGAAAGGUAGAGGGAAUGUGGCACCCUUCUUGGGUGUGUUAUAGACCUCUGUUAUAUAUGGCAGUUGGGGCUGAGGAAUGCAGCGCGCCGCAAGGCCGGGGCUUUGACCACGUCCGCGCUUAGGAUGUUGGCAUAAUGGCUUUAAUCGACCCCGUCUUGAAACACGGACCAAGGAGUCUAACAUGCCUGCGAGUAUUUGGGUGGAAAAACCCGAGUGCAUAAUGAAAAG
rnacentral:rRNA from 1 species